UAUAAAGGGUGACUGCCAGGCUUUCGGUACGAAUGAGGAUUUUCCUGUCGUCAACACAUAUUCCUGUGGGAUAUGGAACCGUUACGGAAUAGGCAAACGACCUAUUCCCUAAUGCAGUUCCCU
rnacentral:sRNA from 1 species